GCUGCGGCUCACGACAACUACCGGCGCUGCCGCGGGUCUGGCGGGAGCCGGGGGCUGGGCCGGCCACGCGCGGGGCACCACGGGAGCGGGAGUCCGCGGCCGGCGGGCCGUCACCUGAGACCGCGCCUGAGGAGCGGAGACCCCGCGUCGCGGCCGGAGAGGGCUGCAGCCAAAGAAGCUAUUGCCAGCCCGUCAGGUGGAGGAGGCAGGGGACCUACUUGGAGGUGGAGUCCCAGGAUGAUGGCCUCGAGGAGGCAGAGGCGGAGGAGGAGUAGAGGAAGGUGGAGCGAAUGGUCCAUCCCGGCGGGAGCUGGCUGGGCGAGUGGCCCCGCAUGUGUGCCUGCAUGGAGGCCAGGCUGGGGCAGCCGGCUCCGCACAGAGAGCAGCGACAGAACAAGAAUAGGGCCUGGACCGAGCAGGAGGAGGCCUGAAAGGCUGUUGGCGAGAUGGGCAGCCUGCUUUGCCCACAUGACCCACACAGGUUGCAAGUGUACCUGUGGGGACAAAAAAGAUAGGCUUCCAUUGGGCCCUUCACUCACCUCUGAUCCUGAGGCCAGACCUCUUGCCAGGCUGCACUGAUGGAAGUACUAUGGGAGAAAGGAGUGCCAUAUCUGGGCGGCAAUAGCAGGAGGCUCCACAGGGCAGGCUGGCUCUCCCUCAACCAAGGGGCCUCAGCCCACCAGGGCCUAGAGAGUCAAAGAAGUGUAUCUGAGGCAACAAAAAACUCUGAACUAAUCAGAUCUGCAUUUGAGUCUCAUCUCUGCCAUUUACUAGUUGAGUCACCUUGGGCAAAUCAUCUCUCUGAGCCUCCCUUACUUACCUCAUCCAUGAAAUAGGAGGUGUCAGCGGAGCUCCAGUAGAUGAAAGCGGUUUCUGCUAUCUCAGAGGCAAAAAGGACUGAAAUAUCUGGAUUCCAAGGAGAGAGUGAAGGAGAGCCGAAAGCAUGCCUGACUUGAUACUAGGAAGCCUUGACUGCUUUGUGGAAAUGACCUCUGUCAUUUGAGCCAUCACUGAGGACUGGGUGUGUGAGUGACUCAGAUCCUCCCAUCAGACUCUGAAGGGGGUAACCCCAGAAAGGGUCUGUGGUGGUCUUUGAAGAGAAAAACUCCUUUUCUUGGGUUGAUGACAAAUUACAUUUCUCUGAAAUCAGAA